ACACAGAUGGGAAGGUAAGCUUCAACAGGACACUGCCAGGAAGAAGCAUGAAGAAAGAGAUAAACCCAGAGGCGGAAUGAACCCUUUGGCAGUGGAGAUAUCUGACCAUGGAGAUGCUUCUGAAUGUCACCCACCAAGAAGCUGUGAGCUGGAUGCUCCACAGAUAUGAUAUACAGAGCCUUCCCUGCUGGCCUUUUUCCUUCCAUCUGGAGAUCAGCCCGGGUCCAUAGAGCCUAACAUGAAGACAGCCAGCAAAGAAGAAAUGUGGUUUGCAGCGUUCCAGCCCCAGCAUCACAGAGCAGAGUGUAAAAAGGUAUUCCUGAUGACGGUGAACUGUAAGGAGGGGAGCCUGCUUGGCUUGUGAACUUUUACUUAAUACCGCUCUUCAAAUACAGUGCUUCUGCUCUGCCCUCUGCCAUACUGAGUCCCCAAUUCCCUGGCCUCUUCAGUCAGCCUCUGCAGAGAAGACAUUCGCCCCAGUGCCCUGGCAGAGCAGACAAUCACCUGGCUGCGUAGAGUGAGGAAGGAGCUGUAGAAGCCUAAGCGUCUCAUGCCAUUCUCGUUUGGAGUCACAUCCUGAACCGCUUCCCAGUUCUACCACCUAUGGCCCUGAAGUAUCACGUAGGGAACUCAACUUCUCCCUCUGAGCUUGGAAGACCUUUGAAACACAUAGGAUGUCCAGGGCCCUCUUGGCCCUGGGAUUCUAUGAUCCAUGAACCUUCAGAAGCUAGAGAGCUCUGCCUAGGUAGUAACAUAGACAGGAAGAUACAGGAGGUGAAGAAGGGCAAGGUGACAGUGGGAUAGAGUGGCAGGAGACUUCAAAGAAAAGGUGGGAUGAGAGCAGGACAAGAGCCAGUUGGAGGAAUAGGAGAGGGAACGCCUCCUCAGGUGUCCAAUACUGGGGCAGGAUCGUCACAGCAUGCUGGGGGCUGGUAGGCAAAGGGUUCUAGAAUAAUAAAGUGGAAGAGUAAACUUCAAUUAGAAUGUGGAGAACUUGAAUUUCUUUUUUACAUUAGCAAACCCCACAAUCAAAGUCGUCUAGAGAUUUGUUUUCAGUGCCAGAGACCCUACCCCAGACUUUAAAUCAGAAUAUCAGAGAAGAGCCCAGGAACCUAUAUGCCUUUAAACUUUCCACGUGAGUCCAAUAAACUGGCAAGUUUUGGAACCACUUCCUUAGGCAAUGGAGAACCAUGGAUGGUUUGUAAUCAGGAUGCAUGAUAGAAGUGGAAAUUCUAGAAAGAUGAAUUUGACAGGCAUACGCAAGGUGGACUGGAGGUUGAAGGACAUGUGACAGGGAUUCAAGGGAGGAAAUUUCAAUACUUCACAAAGAUGGUCAUGAGAGUCUAUAGGAGGUAAGUGGUCAGGGAAAAGAAAGAAGAGACUAUACCAAUCCUUCUUUCAUGGAUUGAAUUAUGUAUCCCCCAAAAAUUCAUAGGUUGAAUUCCUAACCCUUAGUACCUCGGAAUGUAACCUUAUUGGGAAAUAGAGUCACUGCAGAUGUAAUUAGUUAGGUUAGAUGCGGUCAUAGGGUGGACUCUAAUCUAAUAGAAGGGGGAACUUUGGACACACCAGCAUGGACAGCCAUAGAGGGAAGACGAUGAAAAGCAAAGUAGGGAGAAAUGGUUAUCUAUCUACAAGCCAAGGAGAGACGCCUGGAACAGAUCCUUCCCUCAAAGCUAACAGGAGGAACCAGUCCUGUUGACACCUUGAUCUCUGUCUUCUGGCCUCCAAAACUGUAAGUCAGUAAACUGCUAAUCACCAGGUCUGUGGUACUUUGUUAUGGCAGCCAUAGGAAACUAAUACACUGUCUUUUUGGAAACACAUUCCUGCCUUCAACUACCUCUUCCUCACUUUCUCUUGAGGAAUGAUUUCUCAAAGCCACCCACCUGAGAGGGCUGGAAGCAGUGGUUACAGAAUGAAGCAUGUGUUUCUAACAUUAUAGGAUGCCUUUUUACUGGAGGAGUGAGUGUGGGGUAGCUUUUUGGAGUCCUUGGCCAGUUUGCUCCCAGAACCUACCUGAGAUAUCAAAGAACUGACUUGUGAUUGGACCUUGCUGAAUAGAAAAGAUGUUAUCUCUAGGAGAAGCAAUUCACAUUCUCCCCACCUGAGAAAGGAAUUGGUGCCAAGAAUAUCAGACAGUGGGUAAACCCCCAGAGGAGAAGGGAGACUCAUUUCUUUGGAGCCACUACCGUCCCACUGGUGGCUCAUCCAGAUGUUAGAGCUGCAAGAGGAGGAACAAUCUACAAAAAAAGGUAAACUCUCAUUCUAUCAUUUUGUGGCUUGGCCUAUGCUGAAAUAACUAUCUUCCUUGGCUAAACAAAGAAUUUCCAAGAACCCAAUACAUGAAGGUCAAUGUCAUGGUGGCUGAUAUAACCACAUGGGACCAAGCACAACCACAUUCCUGGCCUCCCUCACUGUCCUGCUCAGCCUGGACCCACACCAGCUACUCUGCACUGCCCUUGCUAACAUCCUUGGGACACUUGGCCCUUUUACCUGCCAGUGUCCCCAGUGGCAACCCUCACUCUAGAUCACCCACCACCUGCUCACUCCAGGAUUGCCCACUUUUGCUAGAAAAAGUGUCAUAACUAUACCACAGGACCCGCUAAGUAUUCCCACUCCACAACCCUAUCUGGGCCCUUCCUGCUUCCAUGGUUAUCCAUCUGGAGUUAGCUUCCUGUUGCUUCCCUCCCAGCCCUUGCAAAGAAUUCUCUAGGCUCCAUGAGUCUUCAACUCCAUCCCAAUGACUCUUACCAUCAGCCAAGGAUGUCACUUCAAUUUUCUGGUCAAGUGAAAAGUCUUCAGGCAUCUACUACCUCACCUCUGUUUCUCUCCACUUUGGAGUUUCUCUAUGUUAACAUCACUCCUUUUCUGUAUUCCUCC
rnacentral:lncRNA from 1 species